UCAGCAUCUCAGCCUUUUGGCUAAGAUCAAAUGUGACAUUUCUGGAACCAAGGGAAGUGUGUCAGGGCUGGUUCUGCCCCUCCCAGUUCUGGCCUGGUAUUGCAGUACCUCCAGGCUUGUUACCAGUU
rnacentral:snRNA from 1 species